AGAGUUUGAUCAUGGCUCAGAUUGAACGCUGGCGGCAGGCUUAACACAUGCAAGUCGAACGGAAACGAAGAGGAGCUUGCUCCUUUGGCGUCGAGUGGCGGACGGGUGAGUAAUGCUUGGGAAUUUGCCUUGUUGUGGGGGACAACAGUUGGAAACGACUGCUAAUACCGCAUAAUGUCUUCGGACCAAAGGUGGCCUCUAUUUAUAUGCUAUCGCAACAAGAUGAGCCCAAGUGGGAUUAGCUAGUUGGUAAGGUAACGGCUUACCAAGGCGACGAUCCCUAGCUGGUCUUAGAGGAUGACCAGCCACACUGGAACUGAGACACGGUCCAGACUCCUACGGGAGGCAGCAGUGGGGAAUAUUGCACAAUGGGGGAAACCCUGAUGCAGCCAUGCCGCGUGUGUGAAGAAGGCUUUCGGGUUGUAAAGCACUUUCAGCGAGGAGGAAAGGGUGUUGCUUAAUACGUGACAUCUGUGACGUUACUCGCAGAAGAAGCACCGGCUAACUCCGUGCCAGCAGCCGCGGUAAUACGGAGGGUGCGAGCGUUAAUCGGAAUUACUGGGCGUAAAGCGCGCGUAGGUGGUUAAUUAAGUCAGAUGUGAAAGCCCAGGGCUCAACCCUGGAACUGCAUUUGAAACUGGUUAACUAGAGUUUUGUAGAGGGUGGUAGAAUUUCAGGUGUAGCGGUGAAAUGCGUAGAGAUCUGAAGGAAUACCAGUGGCGAAGGCGGCCACCUGGACAGAGACUGACACUGAGGCGCGAAGGCGUGGGGAGCAAACGGGAUUAGAUACCCCGGUAGUCCACGCAGUAAACGAUGUCUAUUAGAAGUUUGCGGCUUUAUGCUGUGGGUUUCAAAGCUAACGCAUUAAAUAGACCGCCUGGGGAGUACGGCCGCAAGGUUAAAACUCAAAUGAAUUGACGGGGCCCGCACAAGCGGUGAGCAUG
rnacentral:rRNA from 1 species